AUGCAGCCCAAAUCGGGCGGUAGACUCCGUCCAAGGCUAAAUACAGGCGAGAGACCGAUAGCGAACAAGUACCGCGAGGGAAAGAUGAAAAGGACUUUGAAAAGAGAGUCAAAGAUUCGGCGACCAAAGCCCGGGGGCCCUAGGUGCCCCCGGUGGCCGUCGUCGGCACGGCCAGUACCCGCGCGACGAAAGGCGUGUCCCUCGGGGCACUGCGCUGCAAUGGCCUGCGGGCUCCCCAUCCGACCCGUCUUGAAACACGUACCAAGGAGUCUGACAUGCGUGCGAGUCGAUGGGUUCUGA
rnacentral:rRNA from 1 species